rnacentral:rRNA from 1 species
UACGGAGGAUGCAAGCGUUAUCCGGAAUGAUUGGGCGUAAAGCGUCCGCAGGUGGCUAUGUAAGUCUGCUGUUAAAGAGUGAGGCUCAACCUCAUAAGAGCAGUGGAAACUACAUGGCUAGAGUGCGUUCGGGGCAGAGGGAAUUCCUGGUGUAGCGGUGAAAUGCGUAGAUAUCAGGAAGAACACCGGUGGCGAAAGCGCUCUGCUAGGCCGCAACUGACACUAAGGGACGAAAGCUAGGGGAGCGAAUGGG